rnacentral:rRNA from 1 species
AGGUUAAGUUAGUAAGGGCGCACGGUGGAUGCCUUGGCACUAGGAGCCGAAGAAGGACGUGACAAACGACGAAAUGCCUUGGGGAGCUGUAAGUAAGCGUAGAUCCAGGGAUGUCCGAAUGGGGGAACCCAACAGGUAGAUGCCUGUUACCCGUAUCUGUUAAGGAUAUGAGGAGGAAGACGCAGUGAACUGAAACAUCUAAGUAGCUGCAGGAAGAGAAAGCAAAAGCGAUUGCCUGAGUAGCGGCGAGCGAAAGGGCAAGAGGGCAAACCGAGAAGUUUACUUCUCGGGGUUGUAGGACUGCGAUGUGGACUUAAAGAUUAUAGAAGAAGACCUUGGGAAGGGUUGCCAGAGAGAGUAAGAGCCUCGUAUUUUAAAUAGUCUUUAUACCUAGCAGGAUCCUGAGUACGGCGGGACACGAGGAAUCCCGUCGGAAUCUGGGAGG